GCCUUGAGACCGUGGCUUCGGAGCUAACGCGUAAUAGACGCUGGGGAGUACGUCGCAAGAUAAACUCAAUGAAUGACCGGGGGCCGCACCAAGCGGUGGAGGCAUGUGGUUAAAUUCGAUGCAACGCGAAGAACCUUACCUACUCUUGACAUUCAGAGAAGCCAGCGGAGACGCAGGUGGGGCCUUCGGGAGCUCUGAGACAGGUGCUGCAUGGCUGUCGUCAGCUCGUGUUGUGAAAUGUUGGGGUAAGUCCCGCAAACGAGCGCAACCCCUUAUCCUUGUUUGCCAGCGAGUAAUGUCGGGAACUCCAGGGAGACUGCCGGUGAUAAACCGGAGGAAGGUGGGGACGACGUCAAGUCAUCAUGGCCCUUACGAGUAGGGCUACACACGUGCUACAAUGGCGCAUACAGAGGGCGGCGAACUUGCGAGAGUAAGCGAAUCCCAAAAAGUGCGUCGUAGUCCGGAUUGGAGUCUGCAACUCGACUCCAUGAAGUCGGAAUCGCUAGUAAUCGUAGAUCAGAAUGCUACGGUGAAUACGUUCCCGGGCCUUGUACACACCGCCCGUCACACCAUGGGAGUGGGCUGCAAAAGAAGUGGGUAGUUUAACCUUCGGGAGGACGCUCACCACUUUGUGGUUCAUGACUGGGGUGAAGUCGUAACAAGGUAA
rnacentral:rRNA from 1 species